GAGAUGCAUCAAUGUUAAUGUGGAAAUCUUGACAUGCCACCUAUUACUUUGGUGUGACAUAUCAGAAACUUUAUUUUCUCUCAAUAUUGCCGCAUCACUUUCAAGAGGUAUCCACCCUGCCCCGGGUUGACACUGAUUGGUAAUUUAUUCAAUGUGAAUUGCAUCUCUUAUUGAAGUUGUUUGUUUGAUCAAAUGUAUUGAGACCUCAAAGUAGCAAUGAUGAAGCUUUGUGAAUUUCUUGGUCUCCCUGUAUGCAGUUUAUUUCCUCUUUCUUAAGUUUUACAGUUAGUUUUUUCUACUCUGGUCCUUUAUCAUUGACAAGAGUCCAAUUUAUAUACCAGAUUAUUUUGUUGUUAUUUGCCACUGAUCAAUUAAUUUUGUUCCAUUUGAAUACACUGAAUGUGGGAAGUUUGAGCAUCUGGUGCACCUGGAGUGCAGCAAGGUAUAUUGCUUUUAUAGUCCUGACUGCAUAUAAUAAGAAAAACCUAGUCUCACUUCAGUCCCCUUCCAAUUAUGCUGACUGUAGGUAAUGGUGGUAAUUUCUUGCCAUGUAUUUCUUCUUAUUCUUUUUGACUGAACAAGUUUCUACUGAAUCUUUAAGUCUGCCCUGUGACUGUAUUGUGGUUCUUUUAUUUAUGUACUUUUCAUAUUUUAUCACGUAAAAGGAGGACAAAAUGAUAAAAUGAUCAUUUUCUGUGUGGGAUGUGGAGGGCAUUGGAAAUCAAGCAUUCAAGUAAACAUAGCAUGAGUGUAACAUAGUUACGAAAGCAUUUUCUGUGUUGCAGUUGCUUUUUAAGGUUGGUUGUUUAUAUUUUUGUAAACACCAAGAGAAGGUAAUGUGUGUUUUUUAAAUGGGUAAUUUUGUGUUACUAUAUUUUCAUACCAUCCUUUUUAUAUUCUACUCUUUUGUCCUUUCUAUUCACUAUCCUUUUCUCAGGUGCAACUUCUGCACAACAAUUAUGUCACCUUUCAAGACCACAAGUUGCUACUUGUACCUCUCUAGUUUCUGGUCCGUUUUCCUGUGCACUUUCAGCUAGUCCUGCUAAUCUUCUACACUACAAGUAGCUCUCAGAAUAUGGUACCACCUCAAAAGCACUCUUCAGCAAGUUCAAAGCAUCAUUACUCAGCAAUACAUGUCCAAGAAACAGUUGCCUUUGUUUUUGCAAAAGGGGAUAUGUAGCAUCACAAGGGUCAUCAAUGUAGGCAAAAACAUACUCGUAGAGUCACGGUCAAUCACUUUGAGUAAAUCUUCGUACAGAAUCUCAAGGGGAUGAAGUUCUCCGUUGAUGCCUAGAAUCAAGACCUUUUAAGCUGCUUGGCUCACAACAAUAUUACCUGUAUUCUUUAAAUUCUCUUCUAAGUGCCUCAAAUCUAUAGCUUGGCAAAGAGCGACGAGGUAGGUUGCAGACAUAAGCUUCAAUAUGUCUACAGCUUCAGCUGUUUUUCUAGCUGAGAUUAGUGCUAAUUGGGUCACAUCGUGGUUGUGUUGUUCUGCACUUUGUGCAUGACUUGUUACAGGGUUUGCUAGACACUGAAGCUCAGAACAAUAUGAAGCUUGGUAUCUCAUUGCUGUUGAUUCCAUAAUCCAAACUCAGACAGCGACCCACCGGAGAGAUUUGAAGGGAGCCCCGUAUUGUAGAAAGCAUAUUAACCAGCUCAGACAUCCUGAUCAAAAAUGAGUUAUCCCAUUGCAGCCAAAUGAGCCAAUGCUAAUCUUCUGUUGUCCAUUGAAACUCCUAUAGGAGCGAGUACCUUGAAAUUUGCUUAGGAUUGCCAAAUAUUUUUUAAUACUUUAUGGAUUUCCAAAUAUUUUAUUAAUACUUUAUGGAUUGCUAAAUGUUAUGGUGAUUUCCCAUGAUAUUUGUUGCCUGUUGGUGGUGUUUUUUGCCUUGUUCCUUGACACAUCCAUCUAAGGGUUGUCAUUCGCCUAGUUUAUCUCCCUUUUGUUGGAUUUUGUUGAUGAUCAAAUAAUUUCAAUUUGAGGACCUAACCAUUGUGGUGCAGUUUGAAGAGCAUUUCUAUCUUGCUUAUGCUUUUGGACAGGGUCUAUCUCAUGUAACUCGUGUGCUCCUUUAACAUAAAGCACUUCAAGAUGUGUUCCAUUAUUGAUGUUGCUUCAUGCUAGCCUGAAUGAUGCUACAGUUUGUGUAAAAAGGUCUGUAAAUUCCGGCCUUCCCUUGUGUAACUUCUGAAAAAUUAACUGACAUGAUUUCAAAUAAGAUAAUUAAAAUGUUACUGGUGAUGCCAAACCAGCUCCAAAAAACAGUUAUAUAUGCAAAUUCUAAAGGGGGGUCUACUAGUCCACUCACUUUAUUUAUUGUCUGGUAUAACAAACAAUGUCUGUGAUUGUUGAACAUUUAUGCAAAUUGAUUGUGGAAUACCAAUUUAUGAGUACUUUAAACUCUUUAGUGCUACUAUUUCAAAGUUCAAACCCUCAAUAGCUACUAGAGUUUUCAAUGGAUAUACAGUCCUUUAUAAUCAGAAGUCAAUGCACUAUCUGCUCCAUAGACCUAAUCUUUGUUUUAGUACUUGGUAGAAUAGUGUUGGUAUUGAGGGUGAUAUGCCUUGACUCUAAUGUUUUUUGGCCAAGCAUGUGUUUGUUCAGUUCUACCUAUUUUACCUUAUUUACAUACACAGGCCACAAAUUUUAGGUCAGAGAAAUAGUCUUCCAACCCCCUUAUAAAGCAAGAGAAGAUUAGCAUUUAUUCCUUGCUGUAGCAUAGAAUAGAAACUGAAAAACACGUCUGCUGUAUAAUCUUCAGAUUGAUUCUAAUGUAGCUGUUGUAUAAUACAUAAUUCAAAAUUCAAAUACAUUGUAGCCAUUAAUAUGUAAAAUUUCUCUCUCCUUUUCUCUCACACACACAAACACUUUGUAUUUGAAAGGAUUCAACUGCAUGUGGUCCGUUGCCUGCUCAAGAAUUUUGACUUGGAAAAUCAUCUAAAUUUGUGCUUUGUUUCAUAACAUCUGGAAUAUUCUUUCCCAUUUCCAUAGCACUAAAUAGUUUCAUUUCUAUUACUUGUAGUGUAUAGGUUGGAAUAAAUGAAGUUGGAGCUCAAAUUUGUUUUUGCUUUCGUUAUUAGCUUGCUCUGGAUUCAGCAUUCAUUCUGUAUUUUUGUGUAAGUAUAAUAAUUUAGAGAACAUUUGGUGAUUUGCCCUCCAAUUGUUGUUCCUGAAAGUUUGAUGCUUGACUGCUUUAAAAGAAGAAAAAAUGAGAAUAUAUCAACUUUUGAUAUUGUUGAGUAUCACAUGGACAUGUCAUUCCUGCAACAUUAAAAAAGUUGUGUUUAGUUUCAGUUUUGCCAAGCACUCAAGUCAUUUCGUUGCUAGUAUCACAAAUCAUAUAACAUUUGGCAUUUGACUCUCUAAUUCUUGCCAGAAGCAGCAUACCUUGUAUACUGUGAUACUUAGGAGGUGCUAACCUUCCUAAAUAAAAAAAUUAAAGAGGAAAUAACUGCAUACAAUAUUGGGCAAUGCCACACACUUUAUUCCCCAACAUCAAAUAAGUCAUUUAAGUUUAACUUUUCUGUUCUUUAAAUAUUAAGUUGGGAUUUGUUUGCAAGUUUCAUCUCAGCGAGAGUCUAACUGGGCCAAAAAUCUCCUUUUUCUUCUUUUUUUGCCUUCCAUUGUUUCUUAGCAGAUAAACCUUCAAAUAUAUCUGUCCUAAGCCAGUGGAAAUGUAGAUGUUCUUCCUUCCCAGGGAACCAAAGCUACUCUGUUGCUAAUUGCUCUAAGUCAUGUAAUUGCCAUUCAGGUGUGCUGCUAACUUGUUAUUGGAAUAGAGACGAUGAGUCUCCAACUGAUAAAUUUGUUUUUCUCUUUCUUAUUUUUCACUUGUUAUAUUAUUCACAUGAUUAUUUAGCUUGAGAUUUACCUUUGUGUAUGUUUAGUGGAUGAAUUUUUGCAAAAGUUGUACUGUAACUAAAACUUAUUUAAAUUCAUAUAAGUUGCUUUUAUUAUAAAUUACAGAUUAUAUUGUAGAGUGGUGAAAACUAAUUGCAUGUUUUGUUCUAGAAUUCAAGUUUAAAUAUUGACAGAACACUGAACUUUUUGAAAUUUUUUGCAUUUUGUUGAGAUGUGAGUGUGGUUACUAACCAAUAUGAAUAUGGUAGGAGUGCAAUAUCGUAUCCAUUUUAGAUUAAAUGGGUUUGCUGUGAGCACUGCCAUUAUAUGGUAAUUACUUUCCUUCCAUGUAGAUGCAGAGGAAGAUGUAAAAACAAACGCCUUCAGUUAAUAAUGCAUCAAAAAGUGGUUUGUUUGGCAAGGUUUCUUAACUCUUAUAAAUGCAUGGUAUUACUUUGUUGAAUUUAGUACUUGUAAUUGACAAGUUUUUUUUUCUUUUUAUUUCCUUGUACCAUGCAAAUUUCAGCAUUGGACUGUUGCUGCUUUGCUAACGCACAAACUUGACCGUGAUGAUUCUGUUAUGCUUGUGGAAUAGCAUUUGAAUUUUGAUUGCAAGAUAAUAGAGGGCGUUCAAAAUGUAGAGAAUGGAUGUGGAAACUGAAGAAAGACUUUUUAUGCCACAUAUGAAACAAUUACGUCUGUGGCUCUCCAAACGUUUCUGAAUCAUGAAGCAGGGUUUAUUCCUAUACAGAGGUAGCACCAAAAAGUGGAAUUGGCCUAUGCAGAUAUUUCCAGAAAUGUCGAAGUGAAGCAACUUCUGAUGCAACAGGAGGAAGUGAAGAAGUUGACAGCAGAUAAGGUGCACAGUAGAGUGGGUUGCUUAUCUAGCCUGUUCAUGCAAUGAUGUGAUGAGAACAGAAAAGCUCAAUGGAGAUAUAUGUGAUGGCGAAACAUCAGCUAUUCUCAGCAAGUUCGUUACUUGAUCACGAUAUAGGUGGCUAUGGCUAAAUUGCGAUGUCGUAAUAUUUUGCAGGGAAAACUACCUUUGUGAAAAGUCAUCUCACUGGUGUAUUCGAGAAGAAAUAUGAAAGUAUGCUUAAUUACUCUUUUAAUUCUGCAAUAUAUUUUUAUACACAAUGUCACAUGUUUUGACAGUAUCUCAUCCACCCCCGAAAGGUUUUCUGGCAGUAUCUCAUCCUCCCCUGUUUUCACGCCGGCCGGUGACUCAUCCGGUGACCGCCGAAGCACUUCUAGACUAUCCUCCUCAGGUCUCCGGUUACCCAAAUCAGGACCCAAAUCCCCUAAGGUCAGCAAUUAGCAAUACCCAAAAAAGUUUCUCGUAUGUUGAAGUUAAAAAGAUUCAAUCUUUAUCUUUUUUUCUAAAUUAUUGAAUGAAUCAUCUUAUAUCUCUCACUUCGAUUUUUCUGACAUUUUUAUUUUAUUCGUUAAUUAGUUAGUAUAUGGUUGAAUGUUUUAGUGUUGAAAAUUUGUCCUAGUACUUUUUUAACAUCGUUUUCUGAUUGUUGUUGCUUAAUUUUUUAUGUCUAUGGACACCAAACUUUGACCUUAUUUGAUUUUCCUAGAAUGGAGGCAUCUAAGUAGGAAUCUGUGGUAAAGAUGAGUUGCAUUGUAUUUCUUCUUUUUAUGCAAUGGACUUAGUAGUGGACCUGCAAUCGGGACAGAAACAUGUGGGCAAUCUUAGACACUAGUAUGUAAUAGUGAACUUUGCAAAUGUUGCAUUUAUCUAUGAAUACUUUAUUGAGGCACCCUUCAGAUUUGCCAUUUCAUUGAACUUAUUUAUUUAAAUUAUCUGAUUAAAAGAGAAUCUACUAGUAGACAAUUGAUGUAUCUCCCCAUACAUCAAGACAUAUGUGGCCACUAUGGGAUUUGGUUUGAAUUUAGGAGUUAGGACUAAAUGCUGCUACCAGUUAGGUUACUUUUUAAUCACAGUCUAAUUUCAAGUCGAGGCUUUUGAACUUGAAAAUUAAUUUAAAAUAAUAGUGAAAGUAUUAAUGUGUGUGAAGGGGUGGGGGUAUUGUUUUCAUUCCUGGCAAAGUUUAUAGAUAGUUGGAAAAGGUUGAAGAUGUUUGUAUUUGCAUCCUAGUGUUCUUCAAAAGCUGAAAGAUUCAGGAAUUAUAGUUUAAAGACUUUGGUUGAAUUUUAGUGAUCUGAUACACUUUCUCGGAUUGUUAACUGUUGAUACAAGGUGUCUUAUUUAAAAAUAUAUUUCUGAUUGGUGCAUCCAUUGCCAUCCUUGUUGAUCAGAAAACAGUAAUAGAUGUUGCCUAAAACUUGGAAAAAAUAUUAUUGGGCAUUCUACAAAGUAUCAGGUUACCAACACCCGAAGUAAGAUUUUUAGCUAGAGCAGUAGUUUUUAUAAUAUCCCAUUUAUGAGUUUACUGUUUACUGAUAGAUAAUACCCAAUAGUUUAGAUUUUUGUUUGGUCUUCAACGUUUGAAAUUUUAAUUGAAACAUCGUUUUGAAUCGAUUCACUCUUUCUGACUAGUAAGUGGUGAAUGAAUACCAGGGAUUAUUUGAACCUGGCAGAGCUCUCUUUCUUUCUAGAUUUUCAAUCUUGUUUGACAAAGCUAAGUCACUCUAAUGGAAUAACAUUCUUAAUUAUUCAAGAAUGUUCAUUCUUGGUGGAUUGAAAUUGUGGGUAAACGAACCUGGUAGAAUAGAGAGUGAGAGAAAGAGAAUAAGAUUUCCUUGUGUCGUUUUCCCACCCUAUAUUAGUUCCACAACUCUUGGCAUCUUCUUGGAGGAUUCUAGUAGUUUUGCCUAUUAGAAAGUGAUAGUUUAUGGGGGAUUCUAGUAGUUUCUAGAAUAUUUGCGAUCUCUAAGAAUCAAAUUUGCCUCAAUUAAUUGAGUCAAUCUAUGCAUAUUAUGAACAUUUAGCAGGAUUUUGUUUUAGUUGAUGAAUAAGGAGAUACUAUGUGGUGAUGAUGGUUGUUUUUAUUUGUUGUGUCAUAUUUAUACAGUGGUGAUGAUAGCAAUUCCGUAUUUGAUUCGUGGUAAUUUGUGUCAGGGCCAAAUGACUAUAGUUUUUGUCAGGGUUGAACAUUAGUUGAGCUGGACCAGGUAAGGUUUAUCCAUUCAUCAUUAGAUAGAUAAAAUUAUAUUUGAAAUUAUUUCAUGGUUUAUAAUAAGCAAUAUAUAAAAUUCAUAAGAUAUGUGUGGGGUGAUUAAUUUCCAAUAAGUACUGGAAGCAGAGGGAGGAAAGUCAGAUAUAUGUACAUAAAAUUAAAAUAAGAGUAAAUUAUACUGACACCCCCUGAGUUUCUAGCUCAUUGAAAUGUAUAAGUUCAUUCAGAUCAAUGAUGAUAGGUAUGUUAAAAGAGGGUAUAGUAGGUUGGAGAUGGCCAGAUAGUUGCUGGGUCAAAAGUAAUGAGAUCAAUUAUUUCUGGAUCUAAUUUAAUAAUUAUAUUGCUUGUUUUAUUCUUAUGAAGCCCUUAGAACAAACAAUCAAUAUCUUAUAACAUUGCAAUAGGAAAAAAAUAGUGAGUAAUUAAUGAGAGCAUAUCUAUCUGAUACUCAACUGCACAGAUUUAUGAAGGGGUUGUUGUUGACGGUUUAGUUUUCUUGGAGAGUGUGUUUUUUGCCACUGAUCAAUUAAUUUUGUUGGAUUUGAAUUUACUGAAUGUACUGAAGUUUGAGCAUUUGUUGCACCUGCAGUGCAGCAAUGUAUAUUGCUAGUAUAGUGAUUACGCAAUUAUUGGAGAAUAUGGAGGAUGAGCAUAUAACAUUUUGUUGUAUUAUUGGAUAACAUUGUGCUUCUAUUAUUUAUGUACUUUUCAUACUUUAUCACUUAAAAGGGGGACAAAAUGAUAAUAUGAUCUUUUGGUGUGGGAUGUAGAGGGCAUUGGAAAUCAAGCAUUCAAGUAAACAUAGCAAGACAGUAACAUAGUCACGAAAGCAUUUUCAGCAUUGCAGUUGCUUUUUAAGGUUGGUUGUUUAUAUUUUUGUAAACAUCAGGAGAAGGUAAUGUGUGUGUUUUUUAAAUGGGUAAUUUUGUGUUACUAUAUUUUCGUACCAUCCUUUUAUAUUCUACUUUGCCUUUUCUGUUUGUCCUUUCUAUUCACUAUCUUUUUCUCAGGUGCAAGUUCUGCACAACAAUUAUGUCACCUUUCAAGACCGCAAGUUGCUACUUGUCCCUCUCUAGUUUUGGGUCCAUCUUCCUGUGCACCUUCAGUCCUACUAAUCUCCUACACUACAAGUAGCUCUCAGAAUACGGUACCACCUCAAAUGCACUAAUCUUCAGCAAGUUCAA
rnacentral:lncRNA from 1 species